AGUUCCCACCCCCAACCACCCUCACUCAUCCCUCCUCUGGAGCCUCCUUCGCAAGUCCUUCCCUCCUCCCACAUCCAGUGUCCUCCCCUCAAGCUCGUUCCACUCUCGCCCCGUCCUCACCAGGAAUACCUGCCUUCCUAUCUCUGUCCGUCUCCAUUCCCUCUGAAUCUCCCACUCAUGAUCCCUCCUUCCUUGAUACAGCCCUCUGUUCAACCUAGCUCCCAGCUUUCUCCAGCCCCCCCCCCCCCAAAUAUUUUAUGCAUUCUCACUAGCCUUUCUACUUUCCUCCUUUUUUGCAGCGUGUCUCACCCCAGCUCCUUCAUCAUCACCGAUGGUCUGUGUGUUUCCCCCAUCCUGCCCCUCAAUUUCUUUCUCCACAUAGGGGUCCCAUACCGCCGCGGCACAUUCCAACACUGGCCUUACCAAUGUCGCAUAUGCCUUUUCCUUAACUUUCCUACCUAUCCCUUUCAGUGUCCUGCUAAGCAGCCCCAACCCCCUCCUGCCCUUCUUCACCACCUUCUUGACCUGUUUUCCCCACCCCAAGUCGCUCUGCAGGAUCACUCCCAGGUACUUAUAAUCCUCAGUUUCCUGGCUCACCUUUCCCUUCCUGUAGUACACUUUUCCCUCCACCCUUCUCUUCCUCGUGAACCUCGCCACCUUUGUCUUCCCUACGUUUAUCCCCAUUUAAUUUUCUCUCGCCCAGCACUCCAGUUUCUCCAAGUCCCUGCCAGGUGUGCGCCUUCCCCCACAGUUUCAUAGAGCACACAAUCGUCCGCAAACAACCGUAGCCUACUUUUCAACCCCUCCCCUACAUCAUUCAUCAUGAUCAGGAAGAGCAGGGGUCCCAUGACACUUCUCUGUGGUACCCCUGACGUAACAUUUCCCUCUUCUGACCAUUCCUUACCCACUCUCACUCGCUGGAUCCUGUCCCUCAAGAAGUCCCCUGUCCAAUUUACCACCCUCUUGUCCUCUAUAAAACCCUCCACCUUUUCCAUCACCCUCCUGCGGCACCCUGUCAAAACUCCUUCUCAAAAUCUAUAAACAUAGAGUCUACCUGCUUUCCCUCAUCCACUGCCUCCACCAAGUCCUCCAGCAGCCCCGUCAUCUGCGUUUCACAGGAGUAACCCCUCCGGAAGCCAUGCUGCCUCUCAUCCAUCCAGUCCCUUUCCUCCACCCUUUCUACUAUGUACCUCACUACCAGCCUCAGCUCCAUCACCUUGCCUACAUUUGACGUCAAGCUGACCGGCCUAUAGUUUGCCGGGUGUGCCUUAUUUCCACUCCCUUUAAAGAUGGGCACCACCACAGCCUCUUUCCACUGCCUUGGCAGCUGUCCCUCCUCCAGUGACUGUGCAUACAGUACUUGCAGAUACUUCUUGAUCACCUUUCCUCCCAGCUUGAGGUGCCUGUUUCCUAUCCCAUCUGGCCCAACCGCCUUCCUCACAUUCAGUCUCCUCAACUCCCUUAAUACAUCAUCCCUCUGAAUUUCCAACCCUCUCUCUCCCCCUGACUUCUCCCCUUGUGCUUCACACCAUACUCCCCCGUUUACAAAAACCGAUAAGUAUUGCUCCUGCAACAAACGAGCCUUUUCCAGGUCACUCACACACUCUUGCUCUUCUCUCCCCUUUAAUACCGGUAGUCCCUUCUCCCCCUUUACUCUCCUAACAUAUGGGUACAGAUCCGCCCAGUUUCCCUGCUCCCCUUUCUCCAUCAACCUUUCCAUGUACGCAUCCCUUGCUUCCCUAGUUUUCUUUCCCAGUUCCUUCGCCAGCUCCUUCAUUUCUGCGUUUAGCCCCUCCCCACCUCGCUUCUUGGCUCUUACGUGGAGCCUCCUGCACUUUCUCUUUAACACCUUUACCUCCCAUCCAUAGUAGGGCGGGUCGCCUCCCUUUCCUACCCUCCUUUGGGGUAUGAAGCACUCCACCAUUCGCUCCAAUAUGCCCCUCAAAGCCUCCCACUUCCCUUCUAGUUCUGCAAUCCCUUCCCACCUACAGAACUCCAUUUUAAGGAAUGCCUCUGCCCCCACUCUAUCCACCCUGCUCCACUGUCUUACUACUUCCUCCCUACUUUCCUUCACCUCCCUCCAUCCCAUAUCUAUCUCCACCACCGGGAUUGUGUGGUCGCUGAUGCCCUCCAUCACCGUAGUGCCUACUACUACCUCCACAGGCGUCACCAGCACCACAUCUAGCAGGUUCCCAGAUUCCUCUUGUCCUCCACCAUUCCUCAUCCUGGUGUUCUCCCCCACCACCUGCUCCAGUCCACUAUUUAUCAGUUGGGUUGCCCAUCUUUGCUCCCUCACCCCCAUUUCCUCUGGUCCUUGCUUCCACACCACCCCUGGCAUGUUUAGGUCCUCCGCCACUAUCACCCACCUAUCCUCCCUCAACAAUGACAGCCUGUCCUUUACCCCUUGUAUAACCGCCUCCCCUUGCCCUGGGGGCCUGUACACUGCCAGCAGCAUGAAGUCUUUCCCUUUCCCUUUUAUCUUCAAUUCCAUUAUUUCCACACUUUCCCCCACCCAUUCAUUCUCUCCUACUAGUCCCUCAUGCACACAUACCAUAAUCCCUCCUCCUGUCGUGUUUCUGUCCCUUCUAAAUAUUUCGUAGUUUGCCCCCUGCAGUUCUCCAUCCCCUAUUGCCUUGUCCAGCCACGUCUCUACUGCUAUGGCAAUGUCCACCCCAUAUGCUUCCACGACACUCCAGAACUCAUCCAACUUUCUAUAGACACUCCUACAGUUUAUCACUGCCACUCUCAUCCGUUUUCUUCCUUCAUUCACUUCCUCUUUUCUGAUCCCUCCACUCCACCUCCCUCCCUCUACCCUUUCCGCCCCCUCCAUUGGCAGUCCUAAUCUCUCCCCUUCCCCUAUCCGCUCCCUUUCCUUCCCCCCAAUUCUCCGUUUCCCAAAUGUUCCCCCCCUCCUACCACCGCCCUACGCAUUUUUACGACCUCCACCUCCAGGUACCUGGCUAGCUUUCCUUGCCCUCUCUGACUAAGAUGGAUGCCAUCCUUGCUGACAUCUUCCUCCCCUAGGUGGGUUCUCACGUUCACGUAUCUUGCUCCCAUCUUGUCACAAACUCCCUUCAUCUCCCUGUUGGCUUUCUCUAUCCGUCCUUACGGGACUCCUUUUCUUGGGAGAAUCCCAUGUACUACCAGGUCCGUCUCCUGGCCUCAUUUCCUUCUUAUUUCCCUCACAAGGUUUUCUAAUCCCUCCUUCACAUGCUCUACUCCCUCAUAAAUUACAUCGUUAGUUCCGCCCUGUAUUAUCACUGACCUCACAUUUCCUUCCCUCCUCAUGCUCCUUACCACCUCUGUCAAGUCUCCCAAUCUCCUUCCACCCAUAAAUGUUCUGUACACCUCCUCUCCAUGCCUCCUAACCCUAACCCCCCUCAACAUUGAGUCCCCAAUCAUGAAAAUUUUCUUCCGCUCUCCUUUUUCCUCCUUUACUCCUGCAAUCUCGCUUCUCCCCAACAGUUUCUUCCUCCUCACUAGGUCCAGCUCAUCACCCCUUUUCCUCUCCAUAUCUACUGUAACAAAUCCUUUCCCGCCCUUUUCCAGCCCCUCAGCAGCAUUCCCACCUGCUUCCAGGCCCCCAUUUCUCACCACAUCAGCCCAGUGGUCUCCUCUCACCCAUUUGUCUUUCCCACCAGUAUUUCUACCCACCACUCCCUCCUCCCUGUCCCUCAUCAACACUUCUGGUUUCCCAUCAUUUGUCCCCUGCCACACCCUCUUCCUGUCCCAGGUCCUGUACCCCCCCUGUGUUUUCCUCUGCUCCUCAAGGGACCUCAGUUAUUCCUCUAGAUUCCAAUGCCAGUCUCUUUCCCUGUGUCUAUCUCUUUCAGAGAGGAGGGUAAUGCAAAAAACAAACUCCACAUUGGUCAGGCAUGAUCCGGGAUUCUUAUCUAAUUACUGAGUUAAGGGAACUGGAUAUGAUGUUUCAUAGAGCAGUGUGGAGGAGGAGGGUGAAACAGUUAGUUAUGAUUUUUAAGGCGUUAAAAGGAGACAGAUGGAACCUAGGGUGUAACAGAGGGCAAACAUAUCAUGGGGGAAAGCUACAGAGGGAAUGUAGGCGAAUGGAUAGAAGGAAGCCCGCCUGCCUAUUGACAGGGAGGGAGUGGAAUGGGUUGGAAGAAGGGAUGCUGGGCGUGAGAAGUGCAAGGAAAGUGAGGAGACGACUAAAAGCAGUGGGGAGAGUUAGAAAAUGCGAAGACUCCAUGCCAGUGGGUGAAAGCCCAUUUAAGCCAAAAAUGUAAAACAAACAGAUUCCCGACUCGGACUUCCUGACGUUCGCCGAGUACAUGGGGGCAGCGAGUGGCAGCGCGCGGGCCUCGCUGGAGCGGCGCGCAGCGGGGAUCGUGGCGGCGGUGGAGAAGCGGCAGGAGCUGCUGGCAGGCGGCGCGGAGGCGGUGCAGGUGGAGCGAGACCACCCUGAGCUGAAGGUCGACACGACGUCGUACGAGCGAGCCAGGACUCUGCUGCAGUGUUUCCAAGAAGUGUAGGAUACUUGGUUGGUUUACUGUGAUCAAACAACAGUGAAAUUCUCCAACAAAGUUAAUCUGGUGUGUUCAAGACUUUUUUUUUUAAAUUCAAUUUUUAAUAAUUUACUAAAUCAGCCAAAAAAUUCUUAAUGUAAUUUAAAAGAAUGUCUCCUUUUUGAAGUGUAACAUCAGGCAGUUUUGUUAUUUUUGAUGUUGGAGAAAACCCUAGAAAAAUAAUUACAAAAGUGAAAAUACAAUGAAUAUAUUCUUUUAAAAAAUUGUGAUAUUGUGUAAGUUUUCAAGUUAGAACCAUCUACAGUGUACGUAGCUGUAUGUGAAAAAGUUUUCGUAAAUAUGUAGUUCGAAGUGCGUGUGCAAAAUAAAUUCCUUAAAAUUCAAUGAAAUAGGCUUUUUAAAAUGUUGUAUUUGCACUGCUAUUGGACGCAUGUUCAAUACCAUUCUAACAAAAGCACAAUCAAGGUUUUCAAAAGUAAAAAUAUUUUCAGGCUCUCACUUGAUCACUGUCCUUGGUUUUAGCAAUGGUGAUGAGUGUUGCUUGAUUGUCUUCUAGCUUUGCUUUCAACUAUUUACUCAAAGUAAGCAAAUUCACAGGUCUUAUAGUUUCAACUCUUCCCCAAUUGAAACAAUUUUUUUUUGUAAUUCCGACACUAAAUUAUUAUGAACAAUAAAUCUCUAUUUUAAAAAUUAAACACAUGGGAGUGAAAGUAUUGAAAAAGUCCUGAAAUAAACAUUUACAGUUCUAUAAGUCAUGUAACUUUAAUUUCCAUCUGCCUUUUGCUAACUUACAUUUUGUUUGUUGAUGCUUUACUUAAAUCAUGUGGAAAUUAUCUCAGAAAAGGUUUUAGCUUUGUAAUAUAAAAUUUGCAGGUUCUGCAAUUAGUAGAUCUAUUUUAUAUUAUGUUAGAUAUAAAUUUAUGUAUGUAUGAUAAAAAGUUGUAAGUAAUAAAAUUUUAUUAAAUGAUUAUUAAAAAGUACCAAAGUUGGUUCAUUGGGUAUUUGUAGACAUCUUGUGUUAUGUAGUACGUAUGUAUAAGUUUUCACCCUGCUCUUAUUUAUUAAUUUAUUUGAUAACAGUAAGCAUGUGUGCAGAUGUAAACAACAAACAUGUUCUGUUUUGAACUUGAAUUGAUGUUGUACUCAAGUAAUGAUUGGCUAUAAACGUUGUUGCUGUAUAGCGGAUGGUGCUGAUGGAAAAAACCUGUAAAAGUCAGGGAAAUAUCAGGAAAUUUCCUGGGUAGUCAGGCAGUUUUUUUUUUGUAAUGUUGAAGUGAUUGACAAUAUUAAAGUUAUAGCAGAGA